rnacentral:rRNA from 1 species
GACGAACGCUGGCGGCGUGCUUAACACAUGCAAGUCGAACGGAAAGGCCCUGCUUUUGUGGGGUGCUCGAGUGGCGAACUGGUGAGUAACACGUGAGUAACCUGCCCUUGCCUUUGGGAUAACUUCAUGAAACUGGGGCUAAUACCGGAUAGGAGCUCCUGCUGCAUGGUGGGGGUUGGAAAGUUUCGGCGGUUGGGGAUGGACUCGCGGCUUAUCAGCUUGUUGGUGGGGUAGUGUCUUACCAAGGCUUUGACGGGUAGCCGGCCUGAGAGGGUGACCGGCCACAUUGGGACUGAGAUACGGCCCAGACUCCUACGGGAGGCAGCAGUGGGGAAUAUUGCACAAUGGGAGGAAGCCUGAUGCAGCAACGCCGCGUGCGGGAUGACGGCCUUCGGGUUGUAAACCGCUUUCGCCUGUGACGAAGCGUGAGUGACGGUAAUGGGUAAAGAAGCACCGGCUAACUACGUG